CGAACCACCGGCGACUGGCGGCACGGGGAUGGUGGAACCAUCGGGGAGCCUCUCGCGGACGUCGACCGCCUGGGCGCCCGCG
rnacentral:ncRNA from 18 species